rnacentral:rRNA from 1 species
AAAAUUAGAGUGUUCAAAGCAGGCAGAUCCAAUUUUCUGCCACCGAAUACAUUAGCAUGGGAUAAUGGAAUAGGACCCUGUCCUCCUAUUUUCAGUUGGUUUUGGCAGCGCGAGGACUAGGGUAAUGAUUAAUAGGGAUAGUUGGGGGCAUUAAUAUUUAAUUGUCAGAGGUGAAAUUCUUGGAUUUAUGAAAGAUUAACUUCUGCGAAAGCAUCUGCCAAGGAUGUUUUCAUUAAUCAAGAACGAAAGUUAGGGGAUCGAAGACGAUCAGAUACCGUCGUAGUCUUAACCAUAAACGAUGCCGACCAGCGAUUAGGAGACGUUGAAUACAAAACACCACCAUCGGCGCGGUCGUCCUUGGCGUCUGUCCCUUUCAACGGGGGCAGGCGCGAGGGCGGUUUAGCCCGGUGGCACCGGUGA